rnacentral:rRNA from 1 species
ACAUCCAGAGAACUUAGCAGAGAUGCUUUGGUGCCUUCGGGAACUCUGAGACAGGUGCUGCAUGGCUGUCGUCAGCUCGUGUUGUGAAAUGUUGGGUUAAGUCCCGNAACGAGCGCAACCCUUUAUCCUUUGUUGCCAGCGGUUCGGCCGGGAACUCAAAGGAGACUGCCGGUGAUAAACCGGAGGAAGGUGGGGAUGACGUCAAGUCAUCAUGGCCCUUACGGCCAGGGCUACACACGUGCUACAAUGGCGCAUACAAAGAGAAGCGACCUCGCGAGAGCAAGCGGACCUCAUAAAGUGCGUCGUAGUCCGGAUUGGAGUCUGCAACUCGACUCCAUGAAGUCGGAAUCGCUAGUAAUCGUAGAUCAGAAUGCUACGGUGAAUACGUUCCCGGGCCUUGUACACACCGCCCGUCACACCAUGGGAGUGGGUUGCAAAGGAAGUAGGUAGCUUAACCUUCGGGAGGGCGCUUACCACUUUGUGAUUCAUGACUGGGGUGAAGUCGUAACAAGGUAAGCGUAGCGAG